UCGAUCUCCGGCAAUCGUUCGGGCAACAACUAAAAUUAUAUUUUCGGAAAACAAAAUAUUUUGAAAAUGAUUUAUUUGAGUUAAAAUUUUUGUGUGCGAAAAAUGUUUGCGCGAAUAAAAAUUGUGUGUUUUGUGUAAAAAUUAUUCCACGUAAAUCCUAAUUCCAAUGAUGGCUAAAAGUAUCCCGACACACACACACAAAAACUAUACGCUACAAAAUUGUUGAACAGCCGCACUCGUAACCAACAACUAACAAACACAUUCGUUAAGCAUAUACAUAUACAAAUACUUCUUAUACGCUAAUCUACACACUUAAAUCGAACUGGACGCACUGGAUUGGAUGACUACUAAUAGACUAGAUUAUUCCAAUUCCCAAUGCGUAAUCUGCACGAAACUCUAUCCACAACUAUCCACAAAAUAAUCGUGAUUGGAGGCACGAAGAGAGGAUACGUGUUUAGCCAUAGGGUUUGGAAUUAGGGUGAAAACCAUAUCAAAAUGUACGUAACACCGCACAGUUCUUGGUUUGCUGGUGACUACUUGAUAAUGAAAAGCAAUAAUGAUUUUUAUAGAUACGGGUUACACAUUUGAAUGAAAGCUACGGCUGCUACACAUCUACAAAAUGGUUGUUGUUAAGUUCAUACAAACUAAAACGCUUAGUAAGGGAAUAGCUGGAAUUAGCCAACAUAAGUUUCUUGUUCAAAAAAAAAAUUAAAUAAAAAAAAGAUACUGAUUGUGAUUUUUAUUAAGACUGAA